UGAAUAAGGAUCGGCUAACUCCGUGCCAGCAGCCGCGGUAAUACGGAGGAUCCGAGCGUUAUCCGGAUUUAUUGGGUUUAAAGGGUGCGUAGGCGGCCUUUUAAGUCAGCGGUGAAAGUCUGUGGCUCAACCAUAGAAUUGCCGUUGAAACUGGGGGGCUUGAGUAUGUUUGAGGCAGGCGGAAUGCGUGGUGUAGCGGUGAAAUGCUUAGAUAUCACGCAGAACCCCGAUUGCGAAGGCAGCCUGCCAAGCCAUGACUGACGCUGAUGCACGAAAGCGUGGGGAUCAAACAGGAUUAGAUACCCUGGUAGUCCACGCAGUAAACGAUGAUCACUAGCUGUUUGCGAUACAGUGUAAGCGGCACAGCGAAAGCGUUAAGUGAUCCACCUGGGGAGUACGCCGGCAACGGUGAAACUCAAAGGAAUUGACGGGGGCCCGCACAAGCGGAGGAACAUGUGGUUUAAUUCGAUGAUACGCGAGGAACCUUACCCGGGCUUAAAUUGCAGUGGAAUGAUGUGGAAACAUGUCAGUGAGCAAUCACCGCUGUGAAGGUGCUGCAUGGUUGUCGUCAGCUCGUGCCGUGAGGUGUCGGCUUAAGUGCCAUAACGAGCGCAACCCUUGCCACUAGUUACUAACAGGUAAAGCUGAGGACUCUGGUGGGACUGCCAGCGUAAGCUGCGAGGAAGGCGGGGAUGACGUCAAAUCAGCACGGCCCUUACAUCCGGGGCGACACACGUGUUACAAUGGCGUGGACAAAGGGAUGCCACCUGGCGACAGGGAGCGAAUCCCCAAACCACGUCUCAGUUCGGAUCGGAGUCUGCAACCCGACUCCGUGAAGCUGGAUUCGCUAGUAAUCGCGCAUCAGCCAUGGCGCGGUGAAUACGUUCCCGGGCCUUGUACACACCGCCCGUCAAGCCAUGGGAGCCGGGGGUACCUGAAGUACGUAACCGCAAGGAUCGUCCUAGGGUAAAACUGGUGACUGGGGCUAAGUCGUAACAAGGUAGCCGUACCGGAAGGUGCGGCUG
rnacentral:rRNA from 1 species